AGAGCCAUGGCUAAGUGGCAAAGCAUGCAGAAGGUCCUGAGUUCAAUCUCCAGUAGCUCCA
rnacentral:tRNA from 1 species